rnacentral:rRNA from 1 species
GGGCUACACACGUGCUACAAUGGCCAGUACAAAGGGUUGCCAACCCGCGAGGGGGAGCUAAUCCCAAAAAGCUGGUCGUAGUCCGGAUUGGAGUCUGCAACUCGACUCCAUGAAGUCGGAAUCGCUAGUAAUCGCAGAUCAGCAUUGCUGCGGUGAAUACGUUCCCGGGCCUUGUACACACCGCCCGUCACACCAUGGGAGUGGGCUGCACCAGAAGCCGGUAGUCUAACCUUCGGGAGGGCGCCGUCCACGGUGUGGUCGAUGACUGGGGUGAAGUCGUAACAAGGUAGCCGUAA